ACUACACCCUUUCAUUUUUCCACAGAAAUUGCCUAGAAACCUCUGUUUACUUUCCUUGCAAAUUUGAUCUAUUCUUCUCUUUCUUGAUGCUCCUAUACUUAAAAAAGACUGUUUGUAGUUUCUUUCUGGCUGGCGAUUAGGAGAUCUGUUUUCUGAUUUUGAUACCUUUUUCUUCUCAUCAUGUUGUCGUUGCCUUCAACUUCAUCCUCCAUUUCUAGAAAGAAAUAUGAUGUCUUCUUAAGUUUUAGAGGUGAAGAUACCCGCAAAAACUUCACUGAUCAUCUUUAUCAUGCUCUGAAAAGGAGUGGAAUAAUCAUCUUCAGGGAUGAUCCAAAGCUGGAGGCCGGCGAAGAGAUCGCGCCAGAACUGUUUAAAGCCAUUCAGCAGUCAUGGUGCUCCGUAAUCGUAUUUUCAGAAUCUUAUGCUACUUCGGUUUGGUGCUUGGACGAACUUACUGAGAUUGUUAAGCAGAAAAACGACAAGGGUUAUAAAGUGUUUCCAGUUUUCUAUGACGUGGAUCCAUCUGAUUUAAGAAAACAGAAAGGAAAAGUUGAAGAAGCCUUUGCGGAACAUGAAAAGAGAUAUGAUGAAGAUAAGGUCCAAAGGUGGCGAUAUGCUUUGACUCAAGUCGCAAACAUUAAGGGAUGGCAUCUAAAUCACAGGCAUGAAACCGAAUUUAUUGGAGACAUUGUUAAAAAAAUAACAGCAAGAUUGUGCGAAACAUAUCCAAUUGCCCAUGAUGAGUUGGUUGGAAUUAGUUCACGCUUGAAGGAGCUAUAUGCGAAAAUAGACAUUGGUGAAGAUGAUGGCCGCGUUAUCGGAAUUUGUGAAAUGUGUGGCAUCGGUAAAACGACUCUUGCAAGAGUUGCUUACACUCAAAUGUCAUCUCAUUUUGAAGGUAAAAGCUUUCUUGCUGAUGUUCGAGACGUUUCAAACAAAUGUGGACUUGUUUCGUUACAGAAACAACUUCUUUCCCAAAUCUUGCCUGAUGAAUGCUUUAAUUUCUUCAAUGUUUAUGAAGGAAAUGUCAUUAUUAACCACAGGCUAUCUAACAAAAGGGUUCUUAUUGUUCUUGAUGAUGUUGAUAACCUACAACACUUAAAAUGUUUGGUUGGAAGGCGUGAUUGGUUCGGUUUAGGGAGUAGAAUCAUUGUAACAACAAGAGACGAACAUUUGCUCCGAUCUUACCGUGUUGAUGAUGUAUAUAAGCCUACAACAUUGAAUGAUAAUGAUGCACUUCGACUUUUCAAUUUGAAAGCUUUCGGUUGCGAGAAUGUGCCAAAAGAGGAUUUCAUUGAGCUUGUUGAACAUGUUGUAGGUUAUGCUGGUGGACUCCCUUUAGCUCUUGAAGUUUUGGGUUCUUUUCUAUGCGAUAGAGAUGCAAUUCAAUGGAGAAGUGCAAUAGAAAGACUCAAAAGAGAUUCUAACAAAGAAAUUCUUGACAGACUUCAAAUAAGCUUUGAUGGAUUGGAAGAAAGGGAGAAGAAUAUAUUUCUAGAUAUAGCAUGCUUUUUUAAUGGAGAGGAGAAAGAUUUUGUAAUGAAAGUAUUAGAUGGUUGCGAGUUUUUUCCCGAUAUUGGAAUUGAUAUUCUCAUUAAAAAUCUCUACUAACAGUUAAUAAAUAAAACCAACUGCGGAUGCAUGACUUGCUACAAGAAAUGGGAAGAAAAAUUGUUAGAGAAAAAUCUAUUGAUGAACUUGGAAAACGUUGCAGAUUGUGGGAGGAAAGAGAUGUCUAUCAUGUGCUAACAACAAAAACAGGUACAGAUAUGAUUGAAGGUAUAAACAUUGACAAUAAAAGGUAUUUGGAAAUUCAAGAGAAAAGCUUGAUAUUAUUAUACCUGCAAGUGAAAUCCCAGAAUGGUUUAGUCAACAAAGAGGUGACUCUUCGAUUAAGAUAGAUUUGCCUCUGGAAGUCCGGAAUGGUAGUCAAUGGAAGGGAGUUGGUUUCUGCUGCAUUUUUGUCAGUGGUGGUACUUCAAGGGAUGAGACUAUCAUGCGUAGAGCUGUUAUCCACGAUAGAUAUUCUAGCCAAGAUGUCCAACGGAGUGGCUGGGAUCUCUCAUGUAAUGAAUGUCCCGUGAAGGACCACAUUUUCAUUCGUUAUUUCUCGCGUGACUGCUUGUAUCCAAUUUCCUUGGAAGACAAAUGUGGUGAACAUGAUGAAACCAAUAAUUUAUGGACAAUAGAUUGCUUAGAUCAGGAAUGCCAUCAACUUGAGUUGUCUUUCACAGAUCCCUUCAGUGUUACGGUGAAGAAGUGUGGUGUUAGAAUAGUGUAUGAGAGAGCUUUGGAAGAAACACAAGAGCUGCAUGGUAGUCAGUGUUUAGAAAAUUUUGAAGAUAUCCAACAACACUCGGCUGAUGAUGGAUCAAUAGGUAACGAUUCCAUUAAAAAGCGAAAACGUAAUAUCUAUGAGGAGAUGGAUGAAGGGCCGCAACCAAAACGGAUGCAAAAAAUUUUCAAUUCUAUAAUGGGCAAACUGGGGAAGAAGCACUAAUUGUGGUCGAAAAAAUGUAAUCAGCGGGAGAUAAGAUGUGGAGGAAGUUGGAUUGUUCCAUGAAGAAGCAGCUAAUAAGUAAGGUGCAAAUCCUUUAACGAUGUUUAGAUUAUAAUCAUCCUUUUAUCUUUGUUGUUUCAUUUUUGUUUGUAAUUGUUAAAGACCAAAGUAUGUGUUAAAUGUGAUAUGUGUCUAGUUUAAUUUUUUAAAAUUAUUUUUAUAUUUAAAAUAUUAAUUA